rnacentral:rRNA from 1 species
AGAGUUUGAUCAUGGCUCAGGAUGAACGCUAGCGGCAGGCUUAACACAUGCAAGUCGAGGGGCAGCACAGGUGGCAACACCGGGUGGCGACCGGCGUAAGGGUGCGUAACACGUGAGCAACAUACCCGUAUCUGGAGGAUAACCGGAGGAAACUCUGCCUAAUACUCCAUAAUAUCAUCGUACGGCAUCGUUUGGUGAUUAAAGAUUUAUCGGACACGGAUUGGCUCGCGGGACAUUAGCUUGUUGGUGGGGUAACGGCUCACCAAGGCCACGAUGUCUAGGGGUUCUGAGAGGAAGGUCCCCCACACUGGAACUGAGACACGGUCCAGACUCCUACGGGAGGCAGCAGUGAGGAAUAUUGGACAAUGGUCGGAAGACUGAUCCAGCCAUGCCGCGUGAAGGUUACGGUCCUAUGGAUUUUAAACUUCUUUUGUAUGGAAGCAAUAAGGUGCACGUGUGCAUCGAUGAGAGUACCAUACGAAUAAGCAUCGGCUAACUCCGUGCCAGCAGCCGCGGUAAUACGGAGGAUGCAAGCGUUAUCCGGAUUUAUUGGGUUUAAAGGGUGCGUAGGCGGAUUAAUAAGUCAGCGGUGAAACUCACAGGCUCAACCUGUGCCGUGCCGUUGAAACUGUUUAUCUUGAAUGCGGAUGCUGUGGGAGGAAUGUGUAGUGUAGCGGUGAAAUGCAUAGAUAUUACACAGAACACCGAUUGCGAAGGCAUCUCACGAAGCCGUGAUUGACGCUGAGGCACGAAAGUGUGGGGAUCAAACAGGAUUAGAUACCCUGGUAGUCCACUACUGUAAACGAUGAUAACUCGCUGCCGGCGAUAUAUAGUCGGUGGCCCAGCGAAAGCGAUAAGUUAUCCACCUGGGGAGUACGACCGCAAGGUUGAAACUCAAAGGAAUUGACGG